CCCCAGAUAGCUCAAUUGGUAGAGCACUGACUAAAGAUUCAGAGGGCCUGGGUUCAAACCCGUUCAGGGUC
rnacentral:tRNA from 1 species